rnacentral:rRNA from 1 species
AUCUUCCGCAAUGGGCGAAAGCCUGACGGAGCAACGCCGCGUGAGUGAUGAAGGGUUUCGGCUCGUAAAACUCUGUUAUUAGGGAAGAACAAAUGUGUAAGUAACUGUGCACAUCUUGACGGUACCUAAUCAGAAAGCCUCGGCUAACUACGUGCCAGCAGCCGCGGUAAUACGUAGGUGGCAAGCGUUAUCCGGAAUUAUUGGGCAUAAAGCGCGCGUAGGCGGGUUCUGAAGUCUGAUGUGAAAGCCCAGGGCUAAACCGUGGAGGGUCAAUGGAAACUGGGAAACUUGAGUGCAGAAGAGGAAAGUGGAAUUCCAUGUGUAGCGGUGAAAUGCGCAGAGAUAUGGAGGAACACCAGUGGCGAAGGCGACUUUCUGGUCUGUAACUGACGCUGAUGUGCGAAAGCGUGGGGAUCAAACA